UUUCUCAUCCUUCUCUACGACAUAUAUUGUGAGAAAAUAAAGUGGAGAGAAAUUAAACAUGGGUUUUAAUAAGACAUUUCUUUUACUUGGUCUUUCGUUGGCUAUUGUUAUUCUCAUUAGUUCAGAGAUCGCAGCUAGAGAGUUGGUCAACAGUAAAUGCUUAAAUCUAGCUCAUAUAUUUAUUAUAUAGUAUUAGUUGAGAAUUAAAUAUGUAUAUUUGUGCAGAUACUAUAUAUUUUUUCUAUACUAUAAUCUAUAAACGUUGCAAGUUUUUAAUUACUAUACAAUAAUCUGUAAUAUAUAUAGAGAAUUGUUAUUUUUAUAAGAGAAAUUUAAUAUUUUUAUAUUUUUACUCACAUAAAUAUAGGUCUCAUUUAUUUUUGUGUGAAAAUAUCAAUUCUCAUAUAUAUAUAUAUAUAUAUAUAUAUAUAUAUAUGCAUGCAAUUGUUGCAAAUGCAUAUAUCAAAGUUAGUAGGUGUAACAUGAUUCUAUACUAUCCAUGCAGCUGAUGCAGCUACUCAUGGCGGUGGUUACAAUAAUGACGGACACCACGGCGGUGGAGGUGGACACCAUGGCGGUGGAGGUGGAGGACACCAUGGCGGUGGAGGUGGAGGCCACCAUGGCAGUGUAAGCUACAAUAAUGACGAACAUCACGGUGGUGGUGGUGGUGGAGGUGGAGGUUACGGCUAUGGCGGACACUGCCAUCAUGGACAUUGCCAUCGUGGAUACUGCUAUCGUGGACACUGCUAUCCUAGACGCUGCUAUCGUGGACACUGCCGUCAUGGUGAGGUGGUGGAGGCAGAGACUACCGAAGCCAAGCCUCACAACUAGAGGAUCGGAGGAGUAUUUGAUGCUGUUAAUGCACUCCUUAUAGUUGGUGAAUAAUGCACGGAUAAUACAUACGUACUGCUACUGCUUCGUCGAGUGUAGUAUAACAAUAUGUAAAAUAAAAGCAUGCAUGAUCACUCCUUAUGUCAUUGGAUCUUCAGUGGUACUGAUGCCAUUUAGAUGGAUAGUCAUGAUAGUAAUUAAUUAUUACUGUAUGUGUCUGCAUUUUCCUUUAAAGUGAUGUAAUUAUAAUUAAUUAAGGAGUGCUAUUUCUAUUUCAUAAUUCUAUUAUAAUGAUGUAUAAUUCUAUCUCCUGUCUCAUGCAUCAUUGUACGACGGUCAUAUUACAAAUAAAUAAUGANNNN
rnacentral:lncRNA from 1 species